UACGGGGGGACCAAGCGUUGUUCGGAUUUACUGGGCGUAAAGGGCGCGUAGGCGGCUUAACAAGUCACUUGUGAAAUCUCCGGGCUUAACUCGGAACGGCCAAGUGAAACUGUCAAGCUAGAGUGCAGAAGGGGCAAUCGGAAUUCUUGGUGUAGCGGUGAAAUGCGUAGAUAUCAAGAGGAACACCUGAGGUGAAGACGGGUUGCUGGGCUGACACUGACGCUGAGGCGCGAAAGCCAGGGGAGCAAACGGG
rnacentral:rRNA from 1 species